AUUUGGUGUUCCUACUUUUGACAUUUAUAAUGCACUUUUUAGUUAUAUAUAUUCUUCAAAGGCAAUGUCUUACAUUAUUUCCACCGUAAGAUUGUAUUGGAGUGUUACAAGUUGAGACUUCGAACUGGCAUCUUCUUCAUUCCUCAUUGCCGACCUAAGUGGAACCUCCCUUCCCCAUGCCAAUACGAAUAACUCAAGCCUUCCUUUACAGCAGCUGGAUCCCAAGCAACAAUGUCAGUGUGUGCAUCUUCUUCGUUCGAUCCCUCGCACCCCAAGUGUUUGUUUAAUUGCCGAUGAAGCACGGAACACAAGGCCGAAGAGCGUCUCCAUGGGAACGACUCUCCGGCAGCGUGUCUAUGUCAUCUUCCUUCCUCAGCGUUGAAUUGCCUCGGGAGAGUAAUUGAACUUGCAUGUAGUUUCAAAACCUUGUUUUCCUGCAUGGAUUGGGUUCAUCAUCUCUGGGCCUCUUAAAACAGUCCGAAGAUUUUGGGCUACAAAUAAAUGACUCUACCUCUACAACAAAAGAAGAAAUAGGUCACCAUGGAGAACUUGGCAAACAUGCAUUCAAAUGUAGCGGAAGCAAUCUGUACCUCACCCAUCCGGCAUCUUGCAGGGGUAGGAAACUUCCUUUUUCUUUUGCUUCUGUCUAAUUUUUCCCUGUUUCUGAUUGCAGAAUGGGAGAUAGAAUUGAUAUCCCAAGUUUAAUUUUCUUGAGGAAAUUAUUGAUAUCCCAAAAGAUGGAACAGAACGUUCAAUCUAAAUCAAGCUAGAGACUAACACUGUAUUUUAUGAUGCA